rnacentral:tRNA from 1 species
GGGUUUUGCUCCAAUCAAAGGGAUUCAUAAUCCCAAGGUCGGGAGUUCAAGUCUCCCCCGAGCCA